UACGGAGGGAGCUAGCGUUGUUCGGAAUUACUGGGCGUAAAGCGCGCGUAGGCGGCUUUGUAAGUUAGAGGUGAAAGCCCGGGGCUCAACCCCGGAAUUGCCUUUAAGACUGCAUCGCUAGAAUCCAGGAGAGGUGAGUGGAAAUUCCGAGUGUAGAGGUGAAAUUCGUAGAUAUUAGGAAGAACACCAGUGGCGAAGGCGGCUCACUGGUCCGGUACUGACGCUGAGGUGCGAAAGCGUGGGGAGCAAACAGG
rnacentral:rRNA from 1 species